rnacentral:rRNA from 1 species
GACGAACGCUGGCGGCGUGCCUAAUACAUGCAAGUAGGACGCAGUUGCGAACGGGUGAGUAACGCGUAGGUAACUACCUAUUAGAGGGGGAUAACUAUUGGAAACGAUAGCUAAUACCGCAUACUAGUAGAUGGACCUGCGUUGUAUUAGCUAGUAGGUAGGGUAAUGGCCUAACUAGGCAAUGAUACAUAGCCGAACUGAGGGGGGGAUCGGCCACAACGGGACUGAGACACGGCCCAGACUUCUAACGGAGGCAGCAGUAGGGAAACGUGGGCAAUGGGGGGAACGCUGACCGAGCAACGCCGGGUGAGUGAAGAAGGUUUUCGGAUCGUAAAGCUCUGUUGUUAAGGAGGCGGUACUUAACCAGAAAGGGACGGCUAACUACGUGCCAGCAGCCGCGGUAAUAC